AGAAAAGUGUGUUUGCCUAUUAGACUUCCUUCUUCAAAUUGUAUCUUGGGGUGGAGGACACCACUAGUUGAUGCUAUGAUUUUGGCAAGGUGUUAACAAUCAGAAAUUGUAAACAUAUGAAAU